CAAUAGCGUAUAUUAAAGUUGUUGCAGUUAAAAAGCUCGUAGUUGGACCUUGGACCUGGACAGGCGGUCCGCCUCACGGCGUGUACUGUCUUGCUGGGUCUUUCCUCUUGGUGAUCUGUUGUUUCGGCAGCAGGGAACCAGGACUUUUACUUUGAAAAAAUUAGAGUGUUCAAAGCAGGCUCGACGCCGGAAUAUAUUAGCAUGGAAUAAUAAAAUAGGACGUGCGGUUCUAUUUUGUUGGUUUUCGGAAUCGCCGUAAUGAUUAAUAGGGACAGUCGGGGGCAUUAGUACUCACAUGCUAGAGGUGAAAUUCUUGGAUUUUGUGAAGACUAACUUCUGCGAAAGCAUUUGCCAAGGAUGUUUUCAUUAA
rnacentral:rRNA from 1 species